AUUGAACGCUGGCGGCAGGCCUAACACAUGCAAGUCGAGCGGAUGAAGGGAGCUUGCUCCUGGAUUCAGCGGCGGACGGGUGAGUAAUGCCUAGGAAUCUGCCUGGUAGUGGGGGAUAACGUCCGGAAACGGGCGCUAAUACCGCAUACGUCCUGAGGGAGAAAGUGGGGGAUCUUCGGACCUCACGCUAUCAGAUGAGCCUAGGUCGGAUUAGCUAGUUGGUGGGGUAAAGGCCUACCAAGGCGACGAUCCGUAACUGGUCUGAGAGGAUGAUCAGUCACACUGGAACGGAGACAGGGUCAAGACUCCACGGGGGGGCGGCGGUGGGGAUUUUGGGAGAAGGGGCGAAAGCCUGACCCAGCCAGGCGGGGGGGGGGAAGAGGGUCUUCGGUUUGAAAAGCACUUUAAGUUGGGAGAAAGGGCAAUAAGUUAAUACCUUGUUGUUUUGACGUUCCAAAAAAAAUAACCCCCGGCUAACUUCGUG
rnacentral:rRNA from 1 species